CACUUUUAUCUUCUCCUUUUGCAGGAGGGGGAAGCAGAGCACAGAGUACAGAUGGCUAGAGCCCAUACAGCAAUAAAUGCUCAGUUAACAGAUCCCAGCUCUUCUUCAGUGUCAACAAGGUUUCCCAUGUGCGCCAAGGGUAGCAAUGUCCCUGCCUUAUCAGCCUAGCAACGAGAAGGCCAGUUUCCAGGAAAGCGGCCACCUGAUCCAGCCUGGUGAAACCCAUUCGCAGCCCAGCCACUGCUCUGUCCUUCACAUCCCAGCACUCAACAGCAGAGCCACAUGACAGCGUUUUCAGUUGGCUAGCCCUCCUUCUCCCCGGCAGCCGGGCUGUGGUUUGUGAAUGGUAGAAAUGCCUUGAGCCUUUGAAUAUCCCUCUAACCCUACAUUGGUUAAGGACAGCAAAGCAGCAGCUUGUGGGGCCUGGGCUAGCUGGGUGGGCCCAGAAAUGUCCCUCCCUCCCUGCUAAGCUCCCUGUCUUGUGAACCCAGUAGGAAACAAAGGCUGUGAUGCUGACAGGCUGUUGUUAGGUACUUCCCACCCUGGCUGUGGCCUUUGAUUAAACAGGGGU
rnacentral:lncRNA from 1 species